rnacentral:piRNA from 1 species
UUUCUGGUUUUUCCUUGCCCCUGUGU